UACGUAGGGGGCAAGCGUUGUCCGGAAUCAUUGGGCGUAAAGCGCGUGUAGGCGGCCCGGUAAGUCCGCUGUGAAAGUCGGGGGCCCAACCCUCGAAUGCCGGUGGAUACUGUCGGGCUAGAGUGCGGAAGAGGCGAGUGGAAUUCCUGGUGUAGCGGUGAAAUGCGCAGAUAUCAGGAGGAACACCAAUUGCGAAGGCAGCUCGCUGGGACGUGACUGACGCUGAGACGCGAAAGCGUGGGGAGCAAACAGG
rnacentral:rRNA from 1 species